CUAAUCAUCAUAUCAAUCAUAUGACGGCGUUACGAGGUCCGAGGAAAAGAAAUAAAAAUAUAACGAUCCAGUUUGGGCAUAUGCAUGUAGGCAGCCUUGGUCUUAAUACAAGAGGUCUGUGCGUGGACUUAAAGUUUACGGUCCAGGUCUUAAUCUUGGUCCAUCUUCCUCAGAGCCUUGGUCUACUCAGGGUAGGAACGAGAAGAUGAGUAUCUCCAGCAUGUCUAGCAGCAUGGAUAGGAAGAGAAAGCUGAGCUUUAUCGAUUCAGGAGGGGAGGACAUGAGCGAUGAAGAUUUAUCAAGUGAAAGAAACACCUCAGGAGAUGACAGCAAAAAGCUCUCAAAGCAGAAUCAUAGCGAGAUUGAGAAGAGACGACGAGAGAAGAUGAAUACCUACAUACAGGAACUGAGUGCUAUGGUACCUACAUGUAGUUCAAUGUCAUCCAAGCUUGAUAAACUUACUAUACUACGAAUGGCUGUACAACAUAUGAAAACGUUGAGAGGGGCUUCAAGUUCUCGUAAAGAAGCAAACUACAAGCCAUCUUUCUUGUCAGAAGAUGACCUUAAUCCUCUUAUUCUGGAGGCUGCUGAGGGAUUUCUCUUUGUCGUAAGCUGUGACCGUGGGCGGGUGCUUUACGUUUCUGAGUCCGUACUCAACGUCCUCAAUAUAACAUGGGAACGUUUGAUUGGUCAGAGUCUCUUCGAUAUCCUUCAUCCUAAAGACAUCCCAAAGGUCAAAGAGCAACUCUCAUCAUCUGACCUUUCACCUCGAGAACGCUUCAUUGAUACCAAGACCGGUAUGUUGGUGAAAUCUGAGAUGACGAUGUCUCCUCCUCAGCUGUCCUCCGGAGCACGUCGUUCAUUCUUCUGCAGGAUGAGGAUAUAUAGCCCCGAGCAUGCGGUCAAGACGGAGGAUGGUCAGCAGUGGAAACGACUCAAGCAACCAGCAGAUCGUAAGAAGUAUGCAACGAUACACUGUACAGGUUACUUGAAGAGCUGGCCUCCAGGGAAGGUGGGGUUAGACAAGGAUGAGAUGGAGGUGGAUAUCGAUGGUUGUAAUCUUAGCUGUCUGGUUGCAGUAGCCAGAGUACAGACUAUUCAAAGCCCGAUGCUUUCCACCAACAAUAACAUUCAACUCAAACCCAUUGAAUUUGUCUCAAGGCAUGCUAUGGACGGCAAGUACACCUUCGUAGAUCAAAGGGCGACUGCUGUAAUGGGAUAUCUACCUCAGGAACUUUUGGGUACCUCAUGUUAUGAGUACUAUCACAUAGAUGAUAUAUCUAGCAUGGCAGAGUAUCAUAAAACAGUGUUGUCAAGUAAAGAGAAGAUCCUUACAACUUCUUAUCGCUUCCGAGCUAAGAACGGCGACUUUAUCCUUCUCCGAUCCCGAAUGUUCACCUUUCGCAAUCCGUGGACCAAAGAGAUUGAAUAUGUCGUCUCUACAAAUACAUUAGUAAACAAAGACGAAGCGGUUGCGUCUAACAGCAAUGAAUGCGGUCCUACUACCAAGGACCAAGACUCUUCGCAGCUGCAGUCUCUGAUCACCAACUUGAGCAAGUCGGCAGCUAUCCCUGGUGUAGCUACCAACAACACUCAUAUGGGAGCAGGCAAGAUUGGAUGGAAGAUAGCUGAAGAGGUCAUAGAAGCUGAAAGAGUGAACGAAGUAACAUCGAGUGGUUGGGAGUCCAAGGAUGCCAGCCCUGUCGUGGUAGAUUCUCUAGGCAUCACUGGAGAAGCUGUAUCAUCCAUAGGAUCUGAUAGCAACAAGGGAUCUUCAAGGGAGGUCCACAGCAGCAGCAGCAAUCCUAAACCAGACAAGCUGCCUCCUGCCAUCGUCAUGACAGGACAGUCCUUCCUCAACAGUGCGUUAGUAUGUGGUGAUCAGACGGGUAGCAGUGGGAACCUACCCCAGAAUCCCUUUGCAGAGAUGUCAUCCGCUGCUGGGUUAUCAACGGCAGCACUCGCUGCGGAACUGAGCACACCAGGUGCUGCUGCAGCCGCGGCGGCCAAGGUCAAAGAGAUGGGUGGUGAUGAUGAAGCCGCGAUGGCCUUUAUUAUGAGCUUGUUAGAGGCCGAUGCCGGGCUGGGUGGAUCGGUAGACUUCAACGAUCUACCCUGGCCCCUAUGAUCAGAUAGAAAUCUUCUGUUUGUCCAAACAAACUUGCCUUGAACUGGCCUCUAUUAUCAGAUAGAAAUCUUCUGUGUUUGUCCAAACAAACUUGCCUUGAACUGGCCUCUAUUAUCAGAUAGAAAUCUUCUGUGUUUGUCCAAACAAACUUGCCUUGUACUGAAGCCAAGCUGUCGUACCUUUGAGCGUCCUAGUGAGUCUUGAAUGAAUGUCUAGGAAACACCCAACAUGUGCUUAGCAGUAGUCACCGUGAUGAACCUGAGGAAGGAGAUAUUGCUCAAUGUGUGCCUUCAGACAUGCCUCGUUUCUCAUAAUUUGUGUGUUCUAGUCAAGGACCCUAACAAAGACCCUAUAUCAGUGUAUAGCAUCUGGAUGAGUGGAAGUAUCCCAAGUAACUGACCGCCCUUUCCCAUAGCACUUUGCAGAUCAACCUUCCUCCAAGUUAGAGUGUGUGUAUUUGGUUUUCACAGAUGUGUAUCAAUCAGAUAUGAUUAUUUACGUCUGGGGACCGACCUUUAAACGUCACCAUCCGAAAGACGUGAUUCAGUUUCGAACCUUCGUCCUUGUCUGAAUCAGUUUAUAACUUCCACUGUUAGCUGGAUUACAGGCGCACGCCACAACGCCUAGACCCCACAUCCAAACAUCUUUAUACCAGAGGAGUUCUCUGACUGCCUUAUUCUAUUGAAUGAAUUUAUUCUGCGAGAAAAAAAAUUGAUGUAGAUAACUAUCUUAAAUGUUGCACUUGAUUACUAGUACCUGUAUAUGAAAGUCACCAUUUGUUAUAUGUCUUCAUGUAAUGCGUCAAGCAAUCGGUUAAUCUUGAGGAAGGGAUAUCAUCAUGGUAAUGGCAUACCGUGAAGUGAUGGAGUUUCUGUCAUAUAGGAACUUUGGAAUGGCUAUUAUGGAACAGAAGAUCAGUGGCCCGUUUCACAAAGCCUUUUUUCAAUGACAAAUGAAAAAAAAUCAGUGACAAAUCUGUUGGUAACCAAUCAGAAGCAAGGAUUUCAGUAGCUUAUAACAAAAAUUGUCAUUUGUCACUGAUGACAAGUUUUGUGAAACAACCCCCAGGUGUGGCUAUAUAUGUGAGAGUGAACAAUCAUAAACAUUGGAUCAACACAGCUGCCUAAGUGCCUAAAUCGAAUGUGGACGAGAAUGGGGCGGUGUAAGGCCAACAUGGCAAGAUGGGGCUAUGCCAAUGAAGAAGAUACUCUCUGCGACUGUGGAGAGACUCAGACGAUGGACCACAUCUUGCAGUGCGGCAGAACGGGUUGCACAGAUGAAGACCAGGCCCUUGUAAAUGAGACGACCAUCGCAGCCAUCGGGCGAUGGAAGAACUUAUUUAAUUUAAUUUAAUUUAGGAACUGCACAUUAAUCUUGAUUGAAGGAGACACGAACCAACGAUCACAGCUGCCAACCAUUCCUAUUCUGGAGGAAUGGUUCCUAUUUUCUUUGGCCCUCAAACUACUAUUGUGAUCCCUAGCUCAGUCAGUAAAGCAGUGGUCUUGAAAUCCGGUAACCCGGGUUGGAAACCAGGUCGGUAUGCCUAGUGGCCUUUGGUAAGGCAUUAAUCCUCAUUACCAGGUCCCUUCGAGAGGACCUAAAGUCUUCGGUCCUCUGGUUGCUUACUAACAAGCAUUUAUGCUUUCUUAGCAGUCAGGUAAAAUAACAACCACCACCAUAAGUACCUCUAUCUUCCUGAAAACUUGUGUGUAAAAAGUAUACGAAAGAGAGACUCAUUGCAUGAUUCCUCACCUUUGCUGUGAAUGAUAGGUAGGCAUCGUUCUCACUUGGCAUCAGGUAUCCACCCAAGGUCUUCAUUGGAUGAAUGGAACCUUUCACACAGGGUCAGAAUGUUCCUUCACGCCACCCUCAUCAGGCAUCAGUAAAUUGACAUGAGGAAGUCCACGUCUCCUUUACAUAAGCGAAAGCACUUGGAAUAUACCUCCGUAUUGAAAGACGUGUACACAAAAUUACCAAGUUAUAUUCAUAUACGCUCUUUGGUCGUUCUACGCACAUAAAUUGUUUGAUAUAUUCAGUGUGUGGGCCCAGUUGUGACAAGUAUAUUGCCUUAAAGAUAUUUUAUGUCCUCACAUCGCCAUUGAAGUAUCUACAUGUAAAAUCAAUGCAAAGGUUGCGGAUGAUAUUUGUGUAUGUACAUGUAUUUUUGUUUGUCCAUAGAUCGCACAAACAGCCUUUCACAUUCAUACUCUUGAAAUACAGGGAUGAAAUUGGAUGUCUGUGAUUUAUUGUCAAUUCAGAUCAGGGGGGCGUUUCACAAAACUUGUCAUCAGUGACCAAUGACAGUUUUUGUCAUUUGUCAUUGAAAAAAGGCUUUGUGAAACGGGUCCCAGUUGUGACUUGUUUUAAUAUAAGACUGGGUCUGGGUGAAUUGCUAACCAGUAUUGAGAUCUGGUUUCAGAAGUUCUCUGCUGUUGGGAAUUUGUCUUUUUCCUUCUUCUUUAUCUUCUUCUUAUUCGUCUUCGUGUUCUUCUUCCACCUCCUUUUUCUUCCUCCUCCUCUGCAUAACAUAAUAUGUUAUU